UACGUAGGUGGCAAGCGUUGUCCGGAUUUAUUGGGUUUAAAGGGUGCGUAGGCGGCCCUAUAAGUCAGUGGUGAAAUAUCGCAGCUUAACUGUGAGGGUGCCAUUGAUACUGUAGGGCUUGAGUGAAUUUGAGGUAGGCGGAAUUGACGGUGUAGCGGUGAAAUGCUUAGAUAUCGUCAAGAACACCGAUAGUGAAGACAGCUUACCAAGCUUCAACUGACGCUGAGGCACGAAAGUGUGGGGAUCAAACGGG
rnacentral:rRNA from 1 species